rnacentral:rRNA from 1 species
AUUGAACGCUGGCGGCAUGCUUUACACAUGCAAGUCGAACGGUAACAGGCCGCAAGGUGCUGACGAGUGGCGAACGGGUGAGUAAUGCAUCGGAACGUGCCCAGUCGUGGGGGAUAACGCAGCGAAAGCUGCGCUAAUACCGCAUACGAUCUAUGGAUGAAAGCGGGGGACCGUAAGGCCUCGCGCGAUUGGAGCGGCCGAUGUCAGAUUAGGUCGUUGGUGGGGUAAAGGCUCACCAAGCCAACGAUCUGUAGCUGGUCUGAGAGGACGACCAGCCACACUGGGACUGAGACACGGCCCAGACUCCUACGGGAGGCAGCAGUGGGGAAUUUUGGACAAUGGGCGCAAGCCUGAUCCAGCAAUGCCGCGAGCAGGAAGAAGGCCUUCGGGUUGUAAACUGCUUUUGUACGGAACGAAACGGCUCUGGUUAAUACCUGGGGCUAAUGACGGUACCGUAAGAAUAAGCACCGGCUAACUACGUGCCAGCAGCCGCGGUAACAC